rnacentral:pre_miRNA from 1 species
UUGAUUUGUCCUAAGUCAAACUUGUCAAACUUUGACCAAAUUUAUAGAAAAAUAUAGCAACAACUAUAGUACCAAAUAUAUGUAGUAUCAAAAUGUAUUCCAUGGUGGAUUCAAUGGAACAAAUUUAGUAUUGUAGAUGUUGUUAUAUUUUUCUAUAAACUUGGUGAAGCAUGGACAAUUAGGACUUAAGACAAACUAAA